rnacentral:rRNA from 1 species
GAUGAACGCUGGCGGCGUGCUUAACACAUGCAAGUCGAACGGAAAGGCCCAAGCUUGCUUGGGUACUCGAGUGGCGAACGGGUGAGUAACACGUGGGUGAUCUGCCCUUCACUUCGGGAUAAGCCUGGGAAACUGGGUCUAAUACCGGAUAGGACCACUUCUUGGAUGUUGUGGUGGAGAGUUUUUUCGGUGUGGGAUGAGGUCUCGGCCUAUCAGCUUGUUGGUGGGGUGAUGGCCUGCCAAGGCGUCGACGGGUAGCCGGCCUGUGAGGGUGUAAGGCCACAUUGAGGCUUAGGGACGGCCCAGGCACCCACGGGGCGGCAAAGGGGGGAAGAUUGCCGAAGUGGCGCAGGGCGAGUGCAGAGGCGCCGCGGGGGGGAUGACGGGCUUCGGGUUGUAGAAUCCUUUCGCUAGGGACGAAGCGUUUUGUGACGGUACCUGGAGAAGAAGCAACGGCUAACUACGUG